rnacentral:misc_RNA from 1 species
UACGUAGGUGGCAAGCGUUGUCCGGAUUUAUUGGGUUUAAAGGGUGCGUAGGCGGACGAUUAAGUCAGUGGUGAAAGCCUGUAGCUUAACUACAGAAGUGCCACUGAAACUGGUUGUCUUGAGUACGGUUGAGGUUGUUGGAAUGCAUCAUGUAGCGGUGAAAUGCUUAGAUAUGAUACAGAACACCAAUUGCGAAGGCAGACAACUAAGCCGUAACUGACGCUGAGGCGCGAAAGCGUGGGGAGCAAACAGG